CCAAUUGUGAACUAAAAAACCUUUGCUUCGGUAGCAGGUUGGUUUUUGGCCUAAAAACCAGAGCCAGCUGUCAGCCUGCCGGCAGCGCCUAAAUAUAAACUUGUUUUUAAAACUAGUCUGAAAACCAUAUUUUCGAAUGAAAAUUAAAACUUUCAACAACGGAUCUCUUGGUUCUCGCAUCGAUGAAGAACGCAGCGAAACGCGAUAGUUAAUGUGAAUUGCAGAAUUCAGUGAAUCAUCGAGUCUUUGAACGCACAUUGCGCCCAUUGGUAUUCCGAUGGGCAUGUCUGUUUGAGCGUCAUUACAACUCUCUGCACCAGUUAAUUUUGGUCAGGUCUUGAGCUCGGUGACUUAGCCAGCUUUAAAUUUGAACGCUCUGCGGGUUGCUUUUUACCUGACCGAACAUAGUAAAUUUUGAAUUGUUCUACUUGGUAUUUUGUGGACUCAGCCUGAAUAAUACAAACUUUUUUUUUAGGUUUGACCUCAGAUCAGACAAGGAUACCCGCUGAACUUAAGCAUAUCAAUAAGCGGAGGAAAAGAAACCAACAGGGAUUGCCUCAGUAACGGCGAGUGAAGCGGCAACAGCUCAAAUUUGAAAUCUGGAGUUUUUGACUUCCGAAUUGUAAUUUGAAGAGGAUGCUUCGGUUGUAGCUUGGGCCUAAGUUCCUUGGAACAGGACGUCGUAGAGGGUGAGAAUCCCGUUCACGGCUACCGGCUUUCAAUCAUGUGUAGCUCCUUCGAAGAGUCGAGUUGUUUGGGAAUGCAGCUCAAAAUGGGUGGUAAAUUUCAUCUAAAGCUAAAUAUUGGCGAGAGACCGAUAGCGCACAAGUAGAGUGAUCGAAAGAUGAAAAGCACUUUGAAAAGAGAGUUAAACAGUACGUGAAAUUGUUGAAAGGGAAGCGUUUGCAAUCAGACUUGCUUUCAGUUGAUCAACGUUCCUUUUGGUUCGUGCACUCUGCUGUCUGCAGGCCAGCAUCGGUUAGAGCGGUGGGACAAAGACUCCAGGAAUGUGGCUCCUCUCGGGGAGUGUUAUAGCC
rnacentral:rRNA from 1 species